rnacentral:rRNA from 1 species
AGUGAACGCUGGCGGUAGGCCUAACACAUGCAAGUCGAACGGCAGCACAGGAGAGCUUGCUCUCUGGGUGGCGAGUGGCGGACGGGUGAGGAAUACAUCGGAAUCUACUCUGUCGUGGGGGAUAACGUAGGGAAACUUACGCUAAUACCGCAUACGACCUACGGGUGAAAGCAGGGGACCUUCGGGCCUUGCGCGAUUGAAUGAGCCGAUGUCGGAUUAGCUAGUUGGCGGGGUAAAGGCCCACCAAGGCGACGACCCGUAGCUGGUCUGAGAGGAUGAUCAGCCACACUGGAACUGAGACACGGUCCAGACUCCUACGGGAGGCAGCAGUGGGGAAUAUUGGACAAUGGGCGCAAGCCUGAUCCAGCCAUACCGCGUGGGUGAAGAAGGCCUUCGGGUUGUAAAGCCCUUUUGUUGGGAAAGAAGUCCAGCUGGCUAAUACCCGGUUGGGAUGACGGUACCCAAAGAAUAAGCACCGGCUAACUUCGUGCCAGCCGCCGCCGUAA